GCUCAACCCACCCCAUCCCAACCAAAACCUUAGAAAGCCCCAAAUCAUCACCCCCAACAACAGCACCAAAAUCCUUCGACCCAGAAUCCUCAAGCUCCGCUACCUCUCCAUCUACGAUAAGGUUCUAUCUAAUCUCGGCUCAAAUGAUACAUAGUAAUCUCUUAUAAUGGCUCUUUCCAACCUCUCAAGCUGAGUGCACUGCUGAAGAAGCUUAUCCAUGGACUGAGGUCUGAUGAGUACUAAGUUUUCUAGAGAUGGCUAUUAUGAUGAUAAAAUUAACUUCCCCUCGUAUUUUCCAUCUUGUUUCAAAAGUGCAAUUUUGGCAAGUGGAAGUCCAUUCGACCCUGUAGAAUACAAUGGAAAAACUUAUUGUUCCUGGCCAGGUAACAUAUAUGUUUGACUUUGAUUUAUGCAAUUCAACUGUCUUAAAUUGUGGAGGAUUAUAGAUUGAGAAUCAUUCUCUAUGUAAAUUUAGGCUAAUAAUGCUUAUAUAUUUCCUGGAUCUGGUUUUGGUUUGGUCAUCUUUGGUGCUAUUCAUAUGCACGGUAUAUGUUCCUAGCAGCUUGUAAGUACACAGCCAAUUAGAUUGUGUCUUCUUAUGAACUUUGUCUUGAAUGGGGAUUUUGUAGUUAUGUUUUAAAUGAGAAAAGAUUAUGAACAUAUAGAUGAUGAAGGGGGUUGGGUACCUGUUUCUUUUUGGGAUUACUGUUGGAGUAUAGUUGUUUGAAGAGGUAUCAGAUUGAUCUCCAUUAGUUGAAGGAACUUCAAUGAGGAGCAAAGAGACUGUUGGCAAUGUGAUUAGGUUUGAAACUUAUAAUGUAAAUAAUUGACAUUUAUGAAGUUCUUUUUUAUAAUUUUCUAUUGUGAUUGGGAACAUGUUUGAAAAUAAUAUUGUUGAACUUGAGAAAAAAUUGAUUGUGUCCAUACAUAUGAAAAAUUAAUUUUGAAUCAAUUAAACUGGUGCAAACAAG
rnacentral:lncRNA from 1 species